rnacentral:rRNA from 1 species
GACAGCAGUAGCCGCGGGAAUACGUAGGUGGCAAGCGUUGUCCGGAAUUAUUGGGCGUAAAGGGCUCGCAGGCGGUUUCUUAAGUCUGAUGUGAAAGCCCCCGGCUCAACCGGGGAGGGUCAUUGGAAACUGGGAAACUUGAGUGCAGAAGAGGAGAGUGGAAUUCCACGUGUAGCGGUGAAAUGCGUAGAGAUGUGGAGGAACACCAGUGGCGAAGGCGACUCUCUGGUCUGUAACUGACGCUGAGGAGCGAAAGCGUGGGGAGCGAACAGGAUUAGAUACCCCCGUAGUCCCUGUCUCUUAUAA